rnacentral:rRNA from 1 species
AACGAACGCUGGCGGCAUGCCUAACACAUGCAAGUCGAACGAGAUCUUCGGGUCUAGUGGCGCACGGGUGCGUAACGCGUGGGAAUCUGCCCUUUGGUUCGGAACAACAGUUGGAAACGACUGCUAAUACCGGAUGACGACGAAAGUCCAAAGAUUUAUCGCCAGAGGAUGAGCCCGCGUAGGAUUAGCUAGUUGGUGUGGUAAAGGCGCACCAAGGCGACGAUCCUUAGCUGGUCUGAGAGGAUGAUCAGCCACACUGGGACUGAGACACGGCCCAGACUCCUACGGGAGGCAGCAGUGGGGAAUAUUGGACAAUGGGCGAAAGCCUGAUCCAGCAAUGCCGCGUGAGUGAUGAAGGCCUUAGGGUUGUAAAGCUCUUUUACCCGGGAUGAUAAUGACAGUACCGGGAGAAUAAGCUCCGGCUAACUCCGUGCCAACCGCCGCAGUAA